rnacentral:rRNA from 1 species
GACGAACGCUGGCGGCGUGCCUAAUACAUGCAAGUCGAGCGAAGUUUUUCUGGUGCUUGCACCGGAAAAACUUAGCGGCGAACGGGUGAGUAACACGUAAAGAACCUGCCUUAUAGACUGGGACAACUAUUGGAAACGAUAGCUAAUACCGGAUAACAGCAUUAACUGCAUGGUUGAUGUUUGAAAGUUGGUUUUGCUAACACUAUGAGAUGGCUUUGCGGUGCAUUAGCUAGUUGGUGGGGUAAAGGCCUGCCAAGGCGACGAUGCAUAGCCGACCUGAGAGGGUGAUCGGCCACACUGGGACUGAGACACGGCCCAGACUCCUACGGGAGGCAGCAGUAGGGAAUCUUCCGCAAUGGGCGAAAGCCUGACGGAGCAACGCCGCGUGAGUGAAGAAGGAUUUCGGUUCGUAAAGCUCUGUUGUUAGGGAAGAAUGAUUGUGUAGUAACUAUACACAGUAGAGACGGUACCUAACCAGAAAGCCACGGCUAACUACGUG